rnacentral:rRNA from 1 species
UACGUAGGGGGCAAGCGUUGUCCGGAUUUAUUGGGCGUAAAGAGCGUGUAGGCGGCCAGGUAGGUCAGCUGUGAAAACUCGAGGCUCAACCUCGAGACGUCGGUUGAAACCAUCUGGCUAGAGUCCGGAAGAGGAGAGUGGAAUUCCUGGUGUAGCGGUGAAAUGCGCAGAUAUCAGGAAGAACACCAAUGGCGAAAGCAGCUCUCUGGGACGGUACUGACGCUGAGACGCGAAAGCGUGGGGAGCGAACAGG